rnacentral:rRNA from 1 species
UACGAAGGGUGCAAGCGUUACUCGGAAUUACUGGGCGUAAAGGGUGCGUAGGCGGUUUGGCAAGUCUUGUGUGAAAUCUUUUGGGCUCAACCCAAAGCCUGCACAAGAAACUGCCGGGCUUGAGUAUGGGAGAGGUGAGUGGAAUUUCCGGUGUAAGCGGUGAAAUGCGUAGAUAUCGGAAGGAACACCUGUGGCGAAAGCGGCUCACUGGACCAUUACUGACGCUGAUGCACGAAAGCUAGGGGAGCAAACAGGG